GCAGCUGGAGACAGUAGCCCAGACGACGUAAAACAAGUUGGUGCCUCAUGCAAGUCGGCUCCGGCCGGCGACACUUUCGAAUUGCGGGGAACCCCUAAGAGCCCUCCACACCAAACCGGCCCGGGAAACCGGCCGGUGGCCCAUCGGAAACCAUGGGGUACGGUAACAGCUGGAGGGAUGAGCCGGCGCCGCGAGGCGCCCGGUGAAAUGGGCGAUCCGCAGCGAAGCCCCUGGCGUUGAUGGUGGCAACCUCCGAGCUCCGCUCGGGCCUGGAUCUGCUGAGGCUUGCCCUCGGACUUUUCCUCCUGCGCUGCCAAACGUGGGGAACGUUCACAGACUAAGCGGAAGUGGGUGGAGCGCUUCGGCGGCUCUGCUUGAGAUGUAGUCGGGCCCCCCUGGAAACAGGGGGGAUGAGCAACCGUUCCGUAGGUGAACCUGCGGAAGGAUCAUUAAACAUUUUGGCCGUAACAAGCCUCAACCCUUCUCUACGUGUACCUCCACAUUCUCCUUCGGCGGGGUAACGCCCGCCGUCGGAACCUCACCAACCCUCUUUGCAUCUAGCAUGAUACCAGUUCUGAUAAAAAUACAAUCGUUACAACUUUCAACAAUGGAUCUCUUGGCUCUGGCAUCGAUGAAGAACGCAGCGAAAUGCGAUAAGUAGUGUGAAUUGCAGAAUUCAGUGAAUCAUCGAAUCUUUGAACGCACAUUGCGCCCCUUGGUAUUCCAUGGGGCAUGCCUGUUCGAGCGUCAUCUACACCCUCAAGCUCUGCUUGGUGUUGGGCGUCUGUCCCGCCUCGGCGCGCGGACUCGCCCCAAAUCCAUUGGCAGCGUCCCUUGCCCCCUCUCGCGCAGCACAUUGCGCUUCUCGAGGGCGGCUCCGGGGCGCGACCCACCGAAGAUGACCACCGUCUUUGACCUCGGAUCAGGUAGGGAUACCCGCUGAACUUAAGCAUAUCAAUAA
rnacentral:misc_RNA from 1 species